UCUCAUCGCAAGGCUUCACAGUGUAUACA
rnacentral:piRNA from 1 species